rnacentral:rRNA from 1 species
UACAGAGGGUGCGAGCGUUGUCCGGAAUCACUGGGCGUAGAGGGCGCGUAGGCGGUUUUGUAAGUCGGGGGUGAAAUGCUGCGGCUCAACCGCAGCGCUGCCUUCGAGACUGCAAGACUGGAGCACGGUAGAGGCGGAUGGAAUUCCCGGUGUAGCGGUGGAAUGCGUAGAGAUCGGGAAGAACACCAAUGGCGAAGGCAGUCCGCUGGGCCGUUGCUGACGCUGAGGCACGAAAGUGUGGGGAUCAAACAGG